CACAUUAAAAUACAAUGGCGUUUCUUUCCUGAGAUGCCAUGCCUACUUAGUUAUUGCCUUUAUUUUGUAGCUUCCUGUAAUCACUGCGUUGUUUUAGUUUGAAAGGAACCUGGCCGGAUGCGAAUAACGUGGCGUGACUGUAACGGAAAAGUAACGAAAACAGCAAUUUACACAACUAAACAAUGGUGAUUUGUGUGACAUUGGCAUUGGAUUGGGGAGUUUCCCCACCCUCUCAUCGAGGAGGUACUUUAGGGUUGUGGCUCUGCAGACUACUGUUGACAGUAGCUCAAGUUGAUGCUAUUCGCCGAUUGAAACUUUGCAGCGAUCAGUACAACGUGACGAGGGAACUAUAACAAUCAGCGCUCCGCCCAGGGUCUAUCACAUCAGCUCUGCAAUCUACGUUAUCCUCAAGUGUGAGGUCCGCAUACAACAAUCCGCUACAUCACCUGUGUUUCUCUGUGUACCUGCAGCUCUGCCAAAGUUCUGUCUGAAGCGAGAAAAGAACUAUGUGAGUGGCAGUGAGUGUCUACAUCUGCAUUUAUGCCUGUGUAUGUAAAUGUGUCACCAUGAAGCACCAGUCUAUCUCCCGAUGGCUGAACCAGCUAGGACUGCCGCAGUACUGCGCAGCAUUGGAACAGGAAUAUGAUGGUGUAGAGGACCUUCUCCACCUAACGGAGCAUGAUCUUUUGGAGCUUGGAGUCCACAAUCAUCUCCACCGCCUGCACCUUCUCACUUCUUUAUGUCUCCUCCAGGAGCGAGAGAGGAGGAGAGGUAUUCAAGUACACCCCCACAUAGACACAUGGUUGGCCAAAGAUUAUCUUUCCUUAUCUAUUCCAUCAACUUGUUGAUUCUGGCUCUGUGUCAGAGUCCCUACGUUUCCAUCUCUCUGUCUGUCUCUCUUAGUACCCAAAGACCGAGACGGAUAGCAUUAGUGUCAUGUAAAGGCAUGCUUAUGCCUGGGGGGUCUUUUGUUGGUGGUGGGGGUUGUCUGCUG
rnacentral:lncRNA from 1 species